UGGAUCUCUCUCUUUCUUCCCUCUAUUAUUUUUCAGAGAGAGAGAAUUGCGUUAUUUCCCAUGCUUGAUCAAUCUGGUGAGGUUUUCAUCCAGUAUAUCAGGUUUAGCGUCAACUCUCAACUGCUAACGGGGUUUGUCUAUAAAAGGAAGCCAACAAGCAAACUCUCACCAUAAAAAGUUGUCUAGUUAACAAAACCAAUACCACUCCUCCGUUUCUAUGUAUUGAUUGUAGACUUUGUAGUUACAGAAUCUUGUUUCGUAAUAUUUUAUUAAUACAAGUCAGUAACUAAAAUAUUAGUUUGCUC